rnacentral:rRNA from 1 species
GUUAUAGGGACAAGUGACUAAGUGCACAUGGUGGAUGCCUUGGCGAUAUCAGGCGAUGAAGGACGUAGUAGCUUGCGAUAAGCUGCGGGGAGUGAGCAAACACACAUUGAUCCGCAGAUUUCCGAAUGGGGAAACCCGGCCUUAGGGUCAUUUAACACUGAAUACAUAGGUGUUAAAAGCGAACGUGGCGAACUGAAACAUCUAAGUAGCUACAGGAAAAGAAAUCAACCGAGAUUCCCAAAGUAGUGGCGAGCGAAAUGGGAAGAGCCUGCAUGAUUUAGCAUCUUUGAUAAUAGAACGGAAUGGAAAGUCCGGCCAUAGAGGGUGAUAGCCCCGUAUAUAAAAUCAUCGGUGUGGAACUAAGUAUGCGACAAGUAGGGCGGGACACGUGAAAUCCUGUCUGAACAUGGGGGGACCAUCCUCCAAGGCUAAAUACUCGAUAUCGACCGAUAGUGAACCAGUACCGUGAGGGAAAGGCGAAAAGAACCCCGGGAGGGGAGUGAAAUAGAACCUGAAACCGUGUGCAUACAAACAGUAGGAGCGGACUUGUUCCGUGACUGCGUACCUUUUGUAUAAUGGGUCAGCGACUUACGUUCAGUGGCAAGCUUAACCGUUUAGGGAAGGCGCAGGGAAACCGAGUCCGAAUAGGGCGCCAUAGUCGCUGGGCGUAGACCCGAAACCAAGUGAUCUAUUCAUGGCCAGGAUGAAGGCAGGGUAACACCUGCUGGAGGUCCGAACCGACUAGUGUUGCAAAACUAGCGGAUGAGCUGUGGAUAGGGGUGAAAGGCUAAACAAACUUGGAAAUAGCUGGUUCUCCCCGAAAACUAUUUAGGUAGUGCCUCGUGUAUUGCUCGGGGGGGUAGAGCACUGUAAUGAUUGCGGGGGUAAACAGUCAGGAGGUUGGCUUAGAAGCAGCCACCCUUUAAAGAAAGCGUAAUAGCUCACUGAUCGAGUCGUCCUGCGCGGAAGAUGUAACGGGGCUAAGCCAGUAACCGAAGCUGCGGAUGCACGAAAGUGCGUGGUAGGGGAGCGUUCCGUAAGCCUGCGAAGGUGAGUUGUAAAGCUUGCUGGAGGUAUCGGAAGUGCGAAUGCUGACAUGAGUAGCGUUAAACAGGGUGAAAAGCCCUGUCGCCGUAAGCGCAAGGAUUCCUACGCAACGUUCAUCGGCGUAGGGUGAGUCGGCCCCUAAGGCGAGGGCGAAAGCCGUAGUCGAUGGGAAGCAGGUUAAUAUUCCUGCACCGAUCUGGAAUGCGAUGGGGGGACGGAUCGCGAAAUGUAGUCCGGGUGUUGGAUGUCCCGGUUGUUGCUCCGUAGGUGGUCAGUAGGCAAAUCCGCUGACCGUAUGCCAAGGGAGUGAGAGGAGCGAGCUUGCUCGCGAACCUACAAGAAGUGGUUCCAGGAAAAGCCUCUAAGCUUCAGUUUCAGAUUGACCGUACCGCAAACCGACACUGGUGCGCGAGAUGAGUAUUCUCAGGCGCUUGAGAGAACCCAGGAGAAGGAACUCGGCAAAUUGAUACCGUAACUUCGGGAGAAGGUAUGCCUUUGUAGCUUGACUGUGAACAACAGGAGGGCGAAGAGGUUGCAAAAAAUCGGUGGCUGCGACUGUUUAUUAAAAACACAGCACUCUGCAAACACGAAAGUGGACGUAUAGGGUGUGACGCCUGCCCGGUGCCGGAAGGUUAA